rnacentral:lncRNA from 1 species
UUGUAUUCUAUUAUUUGACAGCUUCUCUCUUCUUCCUCUUCCCCUUCUCUCUUUUCUUCUGGACUUGUACGAAUAAAUAAUAGCAAUUCGCAUCAUCUCCGAUCAUCUUCACCGUUUCUCAGAUGAAACCUAUUGGAAACGCGAUCCCAGUCAAUCUCUAAGGAGGAGGGGUUUCUUAUUUGUAUCUCCAGGUAACAGGUAUUACAUCUCUAUUCACCUUCCUGAGCUCGCCUUUUUUUUAUUUUGUUUAUUUGUUUGUUUCAUAACACGUCUCUGGUUUAGAUUUUGCAUAUUCCUGCUAUCUAUCUUUACAACAUGAAUACCUUCAGAAUCUUCAAGCUCGUAGGGCACAAAACUGCUGGUGUAGAAGAAUCUCAUAUAUUCUCAAGUUUGCGAUGGAUUCGAUUCAGUAAUCUAACAUCCUAGAUCGGAGAUUAAUGGAAUCGGCUGCAAUUAGCCAGCCUUGUUGGGUAAGUGUUUUCUCUAGCUCUCUCUUUUCUGUUUUUCCUUUGACGAUGAUUAGCUUUUAAGGCUGCUAUGAAUGGAUGCAUCUCAUCUCACUAGCUUUUUUGUUUGAUAAUUAGCUGCAUCAUCUCUAAAUGUGCUUCUCCUUCCGUGGUAAAAAGAUAUCUUGUUUUUGGUAUGCAUAUCAGAUUUGGUUGUGCAAUGUAAUAUAUACAUUACAUGUUUGAGUCAAGGCUGUUGCUACUUUAAGGCUUUAAGCAUCCCAUCUCACCUGCACUUGAAGGCAAAUUGCCAAAUUCCGUUGCUGCUACAUACACAAUACAACUUAUUGUACGCAUUUUCAUGGCAGGUCUAGUCAUCUCUUGGAGGUAAAAAAAACUCAGCAACAUUUACAUGGUCAAUCAUUGUCACAGGUUACCCUCUCUAAACAACAUGUGGUUACAACCAAAAAAUCCUAGGCGUUCCAAAUCCCUAACAACUUAAUUUUUUCUUACAUUUUAGUGACAACAAUUUAGAGGAAGGCUCCCUUUCCUCUUCUUAGCAAUCUCUUACGAGCACAACUGUUUCUUCUUAAAUCCAGAGUCCUUGACGACCAAAUCCUGAGUAUAUCAGACAGACAGACAGACAGAGUAUUUCUCUCAUCCCUGUGGCAUUGGAUGAUCAUGCGAAUAUGGUGGAUCUCCAUCUGAUGAGUUACAAGCAGAUAAAUCAAUUAUAUUGAUUCAAGAAGAAUGACCCAUAUUUCAACCUAUUCAUGUAUUUACAGGUUCCAAAACUAUUUAAGCUGAGAAAGUGUCUUAUUAUUAUUUCUAGAAUUAAGUUGGAAAUGACUAUUGAGAUAUUAUCAUCAGGGCACAAAAAUUCAAUGGUUAUUAUUCUGAGGUUGCAAACGAAACGUAGCCUGCUUUUGUUAUGAUUACCGAGUUCGCCAUCAGAAGUAUCAGCAAGCCUUGCUAUGGCAGCAAUGAGUGCCUGUUCAUGUUCCUGCAUCAUAAAACUUGUGUUAUUAUUCUCUGAUUACGACAAUAUACCACUCACGAUAGGUAUUAGUCUCAAACCUUUAGCAUUUUUUUGGCCUUAUCGAGCUCGAGCGGAUCAGGGUGCGCAGAAUCGAAAACUCUCUCCACCUAAACCAAAAACUUUGAUGUUAGAACAGACAUUGAGCAUAAUGGGAACACAACAGAUAAAACAAACUUACCUCCUUCACAAGCGAGUCUGUGUUGAACAAUUCAAUAUCAUCAGAGGAAGUUCUACGACCACCACCACCAUUCUGUUGUGUUGGUGGUGGUACAAGUUCUCUUCUUGGUUGAUGAAUUCUGGGUCCUCUCCCUCUACCACCAUGGAUUUGGCUUCUUCGGUUGCCACGGAAUGAUCCACUUCCAUGUCCAAUGUUUAAAGCUACCCCACUAUCCUCCCCAUCCCACCUUAUAUCUUCGGGUGGUAUCUACAAAAAUAAUAAUGCCAGCUCUAACCGAGAUCAUCACCAUGUAAAGACACCCAGGCGCUUACCAAAACAGAUGAAAUGAAAGCACAUGCAAAGACUAUUAUAACAAUCUUUAUGUAGAGCUUACCUCCUUGAGAUCAACCCAUUCCCACGUUUCAUUAGCUGCGUGUAUAUCAUACACCAAAGCAUGCCGACCCUGUGACGUAUAAAAUAAGUGUGUAAAUUGCAAAACCAGAAAACAAUAAGACUUCUAGAAAAUUUGGCAGUCACAACAAUCCAUCUAUCCCAAUUAGCAGUCUACUACACUCAAUGACCAGAAUUAGUACAUCAUCUGCAUUGUACUGGGUUAUAAUUGCUUCAUAGAAGUGGUUAUCUUCAGGCCAUUUAGUCCACACUUUUCUUCCGAUCAAAGCUUCAGCAGAUUCAUUUCCUGAUAUGCCACUGGGUACCACACGAUUAUUGAAUGACCUAUUUCCAGUCACACCAAUUGAUGGAUGAUACUGCAUGCAUAUCACAGAUUAUUGGUAAAAAAAAUAACAUUAAACAACACAGUCGGGAUAAACAGAAGAAAGUACAGAAGAACUAUAAUUGGUGCAAAUACAACUAGAACAUAAGACUUACAGAUUGGAAUGUUUUCUGUUUCUUUCGGGCAGCUGAGAAAGUGGGACUAGGAAGAACAUCAAAAGGCUGAAUAGUUGCAUGUCUAGUAUUUUGGCUUCCACCUCCUUGUCUCCAAUCUCUGGUACAGUUUUAUGAUACAGAAUAUAUCAAAUAAACAAAAUUUUGGAUAAAUUUAUGUUUUGUUUUUACUGGUGCAAAUAAACAAUCUGACCUUAUUGGUUUAGAAAAAAAAAAAAGAAAAAAAAAACAAUCUGACCUUAUUCUUUGGAUAGUAUCAUCCUUAUUGACCCUACUCAGAAGCUCUCGAUGUUCGUCAUCAGAUACUCUCAAUUCUUUACGUAAUUCAGUUAUCAAGCUUUCUUUUUCCUAUAUUGAGGAAGUUGUACAACCAAUAGAAUGCAGAGAUAUAGUCAUGAGACUGACAGAAGACAGAACAACCCAGUCAAAGCAAAGGAGGAAGAGAGUACCCAAGAAAUUGCAUCAGACUGCGCUUUAAAAGCCCGUAAAACAGCGGUAUAUGCUUCCUGCUCAAGUUGAUGAAUUUGUGUCUCCAUAUCGCUAGGUAGUUUAGUUACAGAGACUUCCCAUCCAAAACGAAAUAUAUCCCUUUUUAAAGCUUUACUGUAAUGUGGACAACACUUGCUAUCAGUAAUUUAGAGAGCUAGGAUAUUUGUUAAAUGUGUGUAUUGCUAUGAAAGAAUGGUGUUACUACUUAUCCAAACUCCGAGUAUGAUAAUGUAGUUAUAAUCCAACUAGACAGGUCUAACCAUUCCCAAUAUGUUGGGAAAAAAGUGCUACACAGAUAUAAUGGAAAAAAAGUGCUACACAAAUAACUACCAGUUUUUAAAAGUGAAGCCUCCAAAAGAACCAUGUCCUGACCCAUGAAAACUUGAAACAUUUACUAGGAAAAAUCUGGACAAUGAGAUCUAUAACUUCUCUAACCCUAGAGAACAGCGUGAAAGCACCUAAAUAGGCAGAUAACAGUAUAUUAGUAAAGAAGUCAUCUGUUUCUUCUUCAAGGGUAUCGUUCACGGUAAGAACAUUCUAAUCUAUUUCAGAAGGAAAGAUAAUUCAAACAAGAAUAUGACGAAAUUUUUCAGCCAACUACAGAAGGUCAUUCAGAGAAAACACUAAUUUCUAUAGAAAUCGAGGCCAUCCACAGCUAACUGAAAAUUAAGGGGCGGUUGAAGCAAUAUAAACAAGAAAUAACAAUUCCCCAAAUUCAAUAAGUCAAGAACGCUCCAUACUUAUUUCCGAAACCCUAAAAUCCUAACUUCCGGUUAACCAUUCCCUAAACCCUCUUUAAAGCUUCGGAGCCUAAAACCAGCCGCAAAAGUGUUGAAUUAGACAAGACCCUGAACGGACAUAUAUCUCCAUGAGCAGAUGAGCUAACACAAGGUUCGAUUCGACAUGGAACGCCCAAAUCACUAAUUGUUCCGGACCAGAAUCAAAAGGGGCAGGAACACUAUACAUACCUCUGUUUUCAGAAAUUUGAAGAAAAACCCGCAAGAGGGUUUAACUUGUCGUCAGAUUCAGAUAGGGAACCCUAAAAAGCUCGAAUCGAAGCUUGACCCGCAAAGAGAAAAAGAAAAAAGCAAUGGAGGGGAUAAAGGGUUUGACGUGCGUUCGAUAAAACGAAGAAUUGAUGAAAAUUGAAAGAGUUUGACGGUAAAAGAAACGAACUUUGUUUCCCUCUUGGGAGAAAUGAUCUUUAUGAAAGAGAAAGGGCUCCGAGCUACGAUCGAUUUCUCCGGGACUCGGAUGGGGAUGGCGUCGGAAUCGCCGAACAGUCGUUUUAAAGACGAAACGAUUCGUUUUGGGAUCAAAAAUCUCAUAGGCCCACUAAGAAGAGCAAUCCCGGCCCAUAUAGCCUAAUAAGUCUACGUUACUUCUUACAGUAUUCCAGUCUUAUUUUUCUCUUCCUAAAACACACAAAUCGUUUGCAAACAAAAAAAAACACAAACCAUCUCCAAAAUAUACCAGCACAUGUGUGUGUAUAAGACCACGUUGCUUGAAGUCUUUAGUUUUGUUCGUUUUGCGUUGUUGGCCGUCGAGAAUUGAGAUGUGCGGCGACUGCAAAAUUGUGAUCGCAAUUCACUAGAGUUGGGUCGCUUGCAGAUUGAAGCAAAAUUGUGAUCGCAAUUCACUAGAGUUAGUUGAGUUGAGUUGAAACAUGUGAUAUACGAGAAUAUGUGAUGGUUGAGAACCACAUAGAGAUAUUAAAGAGAUUACUUAUUGCAUAUCUCAACAACUACAUUCUUACCAUUUUUUCUUGACAUUAAAUUCUUACAAGGAACAAAUUAACUUGGUCGGCGGUGAUAAUUAUUAGACACAAAUAUUAAUCAUAGUCCAUAUAUAGAUUAAACAUAUCAGAGCCGCCGUUAAACCCAAAUCAACAAGCCUUAACUAGUGGAAUCCCACAAAGGCAGAGGUUAUGGGAGAAGGCAGAUGGUUCACUUGUCUGAAGGAAACCUCCACGUGGGAUCUUACCGCAGAGGCGAUUGUAGCUCACGUUGAAACGCUCGAGACGUAGGUUAGUCAGCUGCUGAGGAAUCUUACCGAAGAUCUGGUUUUGGCUCAGAUCCAACGUAAGUAUGCUCCUAGCGAACUUGACCUUGGAGAGAUCGAACUGAAACUUGUUUCUCGACAGAUCCACUUGUAUUGUUGUUUUGUUACGUCCGAAGAACAUCGAGCCAUCUCCGACGAAACUGUUUCCCGACAGAAACACCACGUUGAAGUCGUGUUUUGACAACGAUUCCGGUAUUUUUCCUGUAGUUUUUUUAAACCGGGAUUUAUCAAUAUUCAUUAACAAAACCUUAAUCUAGUUGAAAAUUAAUCCUAAUAAUAAAGUAAUUAAUAUAUUUUAAAAUCCUACUACUGUAUUUAACAUCAUUGAAGAUGUACUGUACUAUUAAAGAAGUGAAAAAAUGAUGGUUAUACCUGAGAGCCGAUUGUUAGACAAUUCGAGUCCAGGGACGUUGCCAACAAAAGAACCGAAAGAGUUUGGUAUAGAACCGGUUAGCUUGUUAUCGUUGACGUGAAUGGCUAAAAGCUUCGGCAUCUGUGAAAGUGAACCGGGAAUUGGACCGGUCAAUUGGUUCUCGGAAAGGCCCAAGUAGGUGAGGUUCUUGAGGUCGCUGAUGUUAUCAGGAAUGGGACCAGAGAAAUUGCUGUACUUAAAGAAGAGGGUGUCGAGGCUCCUGAGCUUGGUGACGGCUGGUGGGAUGUUUCCGGAGAAUUUUUUAGAGGAAAGGGUGAGGUAAGUGACACGACCGUAAGUGCAUUCGACGCCGCUCCAUCCGGUACAGCAAUCGGUUUGGGGAUUCCAAGAGGAGAGGAGGGGAUGGUUGUUCAGUGAUUUCUUGAUUUCAAGUAGAGCGCUUUUGUCAUUUGCGGUGCAGCUUUGAGAAGAUGGCAGAGAGAUGAAGAGGAUGGAGAAGAAGAUAGAGAGAUGAAGAAGAAGGAGCUUCAUUGUGAUGAUUUUGGUGUGGUUACUUUGGGCAUUGAUACAACUUAUUAGUGAUAUAUAUAAAUUUUACAUUCAUUCGAAAUAUAUAUAUAACAUAUAAUAAUGGAACACAGCUGUGUAAAAUGUUACUGGUUUUGUACAGUAUGGGUUCUCCACUUCACCUUAACGUACAAUAUUCUUUUCACAUAAUUAAUUCGUAUUGUAUUCUCUUUUGAGGUUUGUAGAUGCGGGGAACCAGUUUGAUUCGAUAUUCAAAAAUUUUGAACGUACGCUCGUCACUUCAGCAGACAAUUUCUAAAACCUUAUCUCUUCGUACGUAAUGUUUUGUUUAUUAGUUUUAUCGGAUGCUCAAAUAUGAAAAACGUGCUUACUCUAUAUCAAAAUUCAAAACUAUGACCUCAUAGUAUGAGGCAUAUAUGUCAUAAACCGCAUAAAUGUUAGACUUAGAAUUCUGAUAAUCUCAACACCAUUCUUACUUUUGUCUUACCAUUAAUUAAAUUUUAAACAAUAGACUUGGUUGGCGGUGAUAAUGAACAUAUAUUCAAUCAUCACAGAUCAAACAUAAUUAUUUUUUGCCUGCGCCAACAUCAAACUAAAUCUAACAAGCCUUAAGCGGUGUGCCACAAAGACAGAGGUUGUGAGAGAAAGCAGAUGGUUCAAAGGUCUGAAGGAGACCGCCACUUGGGAUUUUCCCGCAGAGAUGGUUGUAGCUCACGUUGAAAUGCUCUAGGCGCAGCUUACUCAACUCCCGUGGAAACUUGCCGAAGAUUCGGUUUUGGCUCAGGUCCAACGAAACUAUGCUUCUAGCGAACUUGACCUUGGAGAGAUCGAACUGAAAUAGGUUCCUCGAUAGAUCCACUCGUAUUGUUGUUUUGUUCCGUCCGAAGAACAUCGAACCAUCUCCCAUGAAACCAUUUCCCGACAGAUCCACUGCAUUGAAGUCGUAUUUGGACAACGAUUCUGGUACCUUUCCUGUAAAUGAAGCAAUAUUAUUGAUUUAUAAAUCUUGAUCCCAAAAUAAUCUAUAUCUUGAUUUAUAUAAAAGUCCUAAAGAUUUUCAUUUAAAAGUACGAUGCUAGUUCUAAGUUCUGACAUUAAAAAGGAUUUGACCAAAAAGUAUACUAUUCAAUUAAAGAAAUAGAAAAUGAUGGCUUUAUACCUGAGAGCUUAUUGUUAAACAAGUAGAGAUUAGGGACGUUGCCAACAAAUGAACCGAAAGAGUUUGGUAUAGAACCGGUUAGCUUGUUAUCGUUGAUCUGAAUGGCUUGAAGCUUCGGCAUCUGAGAAAGCGAACCGGGGAUUGGACCGGUAAACUGGUUAAAGGAAAGGUCCAAGAACGUGAGGGUCUUGAGCUCGCUGAUGUAAUCAGGAAUCGAACCGGAGAGAUUGGUUUGCUUUAACCGGAGGAGGUCAAGAUUCUUGAGCUUGGUGAUACUGCGUGGGAUGUUUCCAGUGAGGUGGGUCAGGUAGCUGAAAUCGAGCGUGCGGAGGUCAAGGAGGUCACCGAUCUGGACGGGGAUCUGACCGGAGAUUUCGCCGGAGGAUAUGGUGAGAGAUGUGACGAGGUGGUCGGUGCAUUCCACGCCGGUCCAGCUGGUACAACAGUCGGUUCGAGGGUUCCAAGAGGAGAGCAGGGGAGGGUUGUUCAGGGAUUUCUUGAUUUGAAGGAGGGCAUUUUUGUCAUUUGGGGUGCAGCUGGAUGAAGAUGGGAGAGAGAUAAAGAGGGUUAAUAAGAAGAUAGAGAGAUGAUGAACAAAGAGGAGCUUCAUUGUGAUGAUUUUGGUGUUGUUUUAGAGCAUUGAAGCAAAUUCUGAUAUAUAACAGAGAUUUCAAUGGAACACAGCUGUGUAAUGUUACUAAAUUUGCAGUCACUGUUCUACACUCUUCCCAACGUACAAUAUUCGCUUUCAUAAAAUAAAUUGAAGUCAUACAUAAGCGCGGUAAUUUCCAUCAUAUAUCUCUACUGUACAUUUUGAUUCUCUAGUCACUAGUCACUGCACCAAUUACAGCGGGUAAAAUAAUUAGGUACACAAAUGUUUUAGCAUGUGUUUUUUUUUUUAUGUGCAUACGUUAGCUACUGAACCAAUCAGAGCGAGUACAAUAAUUAUAAACANNNNNNNNNNNNNNNNNNNNNNNNNNNNNNNNNNNNNNNNNNNNNNNNNNNNNNNNNNNNNNNNNNNNNNNNNNNNNNNNNNNNNNNNNNNNNNNNNNNNNNNNNNNNNNNNNNNNNNNNNNNNNNNNNNNNNNNNNNNNNNNNNNNNNNNNNNNNNNNNNNNNNNNNNNNNNNNNNNNNNNNNNNNNNNNNNNNNNNNNNNNNNNNNNNNNNNNNNNNNNNNNNNNNNNNNNNNNNNNNNNNNNNNNNNNNNNNNNNNNNNNNNNNNNNNNNNNNNNNNNNNNNNNNNNNNNNNNNNNNNNNNNNNNNNNNNNNNNNNNNNNNNNNNNNNNNNNNNNNNNNNNNNNNNNNNNNNNNNNNNNNNNNNNNNNNNNNNNNNNNNNNNNNNNNNNNNNNNNNNNNNNNNNNNNNNNNNNNNNNNNNNNNAUGUGUUGUUAAGUCACCAUGACUCCUUCCACUCCAAUCUAUCGAGACCGUCCACGAUUGCUCUACGAAACUCACCAUUGUGCAGCAGAAAGGAGGAUACGUGUCCACCUGUUACCCAUCUCACUUCUGAACCAGGCCAUGCCUUUUGAAGCUCCAACACAGAGUGUUUCGGUAUGUAUCCAUCAUCCUACACAAAUCUUUAUAAUCAAUAACCAGCAGUGUGUGUCCAAAACUGUUGAAUUAUGCGAGUGAGUUAUAGAUUCGUUUUUCUGCUUACAGUUGCAGCAACAAAGAUAACAGCAUCGGGGUUCUUGGGGAUAGGGAAGCGAGUGACAUCUGUGAGGGAGAGGACAUUUCGCAUCCGCUCUCUCACUUCAUCUAGUGUCAUUGUGAUCUUCUCUGCUGCAAGUUCCUCCCUCAGUGCCUCCCAAGCGGUCCCAUACUUUAGUAUUCCCUCGCAGAAUGCAACAACCGCAGAGUGUGGAGAUAGGAAUGGAAGUGUUGCAACUGGUGUUGGAUGAAGCGAACCAACCAUCGAAGCAUGUACUCCUCCUAAUGUUUUCACCAACCGUUAUCAGAUUCAAGCGAAAAGAAAACAACUCAACGAACGAAUGGAGUUGCAGCCACAUAGAUCCCUUAAUGGAUGCAAAUUGUGAAUAUGACUCUCACAACAAUAAAUUAGUCUAAUCCUAACACUUAAACCUAAAUCUAAGGGUGCACAUGCAUUUGAGAAGCUUAAUAAGGAGUUGGACACUAUGCUGAUUCUUAUUAGCAAAGGAUAACUAGCAGCAGCUUAGUUAUCUAUAACUCUGUAGAGAGAUCUAAAAACAAACCCCACAACAUUUGCAGAAAACUCAUCUCAGACCCAAUGCAAUAGCUGAUAAGUUGUUCAGAGAAGAAGAUAAAUGUAACUUACCCAUACUAAGCCCACAAACACCCAUCUUUCCAAAGCCUUCCUCAGUGUCUAGCCAGUGAAUAAGACUGCGUGACUCUUCAAUUGUUGCCCUCCCUAGUAAAAGUAGAUCACUAACACAGAGGAGUCUGGCACCACGUUGUAGAAACGGACGCCUCUGGCCAUAGAAAGGGCUGCAGUGGCAUUAUCUAUGUUUGAUCAAAAACACGGCAAAAAAAAGCUUCAAAAGCGGUCGAAGCAAAAAGGUUUGCUCUUAAGGCUUUCACCAGAGGGAGAAAAAGUCUCUUUCAUUACCUUUCCAGCACCAUCGUUGCAAUGUUUUGUUUCACCAAAGGUCCACCCAGACGCAGCCUUCGGUCAUAUGUAUGAUCACCUGUGCCUGCAUCAAUGCAUUGCAAACGCAUUAUCAGCAAGCUAUUAUAAUAUCCCAUCCGAUGGAAGUAAAAAGCCAUUGACUUAAGAAGGGCUAUGCACAAAGUAAGAUCACAGAAACAAGCCAUUCAACAAUACAGCCGAGCAAUAUGCUUAUUAUGCCUUUAGAAUCUCUCUUUCUUGGACUUUAAAACACCAAUUACAGUAAGCAUUCAAAUCAUAAACAAUACAUCUUUUUUUUUACUCGUGAUCUCUCUCCUUCUGGUCAUCUAUGUUUGACAAAACUCCAAAUUGAGCAAAUAUUCACAUUAUCAUUCAAACCAUACGAGAAUCAGCAAUGGUGCAAACCUGCAAGAUGAACGACACAGGCCAUCUUCUGGGGAGGAACGUUUUUGGGGACAAGCCAAGCAACCCUGGCGGUGCGAGACUCAGGAGGCAAAGCAGCGGCAAGCUCAUGGCAACAGGGAGUCUGGAAAACACCUUCUCUCAAAGUAGCGGUCUUUGUCUCCCAGACAGUCUUCCAAACGGGACGAACCAAAGGAGGUGGCCAAUUCUGACCUUGAACCUCAAGAGGGAAGAGCUGUUUGACAAUCCGCUCGAGCAAUUCGAGAUUGUGACCACCCCAUCCUCGGGAGAAGAAGGGUUGCGUAAUCUUCGUGCGGUGCAUAAACGCUCCGUAGACAUGGUCAAUUACAUAAUGGAGCAUUCCCAAUUUGAUCGUCACCAUUGUUAGAAUUAACCUGUUUAGACCCAAAAAUUGAGAAAUACGGUGAAUCGAAUACGAGAAAUCGGGAUAUGGGUGGGUGCUUCAGAUCUGGUGAGAAAGACAGAAGGAAGUAAUAUCCAUAAACGAAUCGAAGAGUUUGACUUGGAAGUCAAGGUUAAGAAAUCUGAAAAGCAAAGGCUCGAUGGAGAAAACUAAGAAGAAGAAGAAAGCGUGAGGAUUGAAGAAAAAAUAGGGGAAACCGGAGAAGAGCGAGAGAAACGGUGGGCGUGGGCUGCUUGAGAUUGAGAGAAGAAGAAAGUACACAACAACACCGUCAUGAGAUGCCACGCUGGCAGGCAUUAUGUAGGCCCAUUGUUUGGGUUUUGGUUUUUUAUUCGGACAGAAACGUUAUCCAAUAUCUCAUCCGUCCAAAGGUUGACAUGUGACAGUGACAAAUUUUAGCAACAAAUAUGAUAUUGAAAAAGCCCCACUGGUAUGAGUUGGAGAUGGUAUCUGUUUGGUUGGUUGUCCUCUGUGUUUGUUUUUCAAUGCAUCCAACAAAGAAAUUGAGGGGCAUUUGGUUUCAUUAUCAUGCUUUUUUUUUCUCUCUAGUAAACCUUGGCAUAUUGUUUCAUAUCAAGAACAAAUGGCCUAACACGAAUAAAAGAAUCACAAUAAAGCGUAACAAACCAACAAAGCAACAAGAAGAAAAGAAAAAUACAAUAUAUAUAUUUGGCUUUCGUUUAGUAGGAAUUACGAUUUGCCGCAACAUCCACCUCUUUUCCCACUCUCCUGCUCACUCGGGAUGAUGAUUCUAGUUCCUUUCAACAGACUUGAAUUACCAUCCGCGUCAUCAUCAUCAGCCGUUAGUGAUUUCUUGCUUAUUAUACGGUAUAUCUCUGUUAAGAUUGUCAAAAAUGCUGUUUCAACAUUUGUUGCUUCCAGGGCUGAUGUUUCCAUGAAGAACAAGUUUUCUCUUUGUGCAAACUCUUGUGCGUCUUCCGUUGGCACUGCUCUUAAGCUUCCCAGAUCGCAUUUGUUCCCGAUUAGCAUUAUCACUAUGUUCUUGUCCGCAUGUCCUCUUAGUUCUUCCAGCCAUUUCGCCAUGUGAUCGAAUGACUGACGUUUCGUCAUGUCAUACACCAACAUUGCUCCAACUGCUCCACGGUAGUAUGCGCUUGUCACCGCCCGGUAUCUGCAAUACAAUAAGAGUCAUAAUUUUGAUUCAGAAUGACCAAGAGAACCUUGAAACAGAAUGAAUCAGUCUCUAGCACACAUGAUAGUUGGUGAUUAUCGACCAAUAUUGCAGAAUAAAAGUGGGGAUGCUCAUGUUCGUUCAUAGAGUAACAAAAGCAAAGGUGGAUCUAUAUGGUGUUUAGUACAGAGUACAAACCAAUCUUUGGUUCUGUUAUAUUUAAAUUACUCUACAUGCUUCUCCAAAUACUGUCGCCACAUUAUCAGUGCAACAUACUGGUUAUUUUCAAUCUCAGAAACAAAUAUUCAAGAUAAUCCAUUCCAACCUUGUUAUUCACAUGUAUGUCUAAGGUGUAUGGGAUGGAAUGAUAUGUUGCCUAACAUUUGAAGAAGAACAAAACUAAUGAGUGAAAGGGAUGAUGAGUUGUAAAUGUUUGUUUCCGACAAUAACCAAAUUGUGUUAUAUAUACAUGCCACUCUUGAUCUCAAAAUAGCUAAGUAAGUGGAAAGGAAGAUAAAAAAAAGAAGAAGCAAAAACCUUUCUUGGCCAGCGGUAUCCCAAAUCUGAGCUUUGACGGUUUUGUUAUCAAUAACGAGCGUUUUAGUCUGGAAUUCAACACCGAUGGUGGCUUUAGAAUCGACGCUAAACUCAUUCCUGGCGAAGCGAGCAAGCAGCUGAGUUUUGCCAACCGCGGAAUCACCGAUCAAUACGACUUUGAAAACGUAAUCGAUCUUUUGGUUAUAAUCUCCAUACAAAUUAGACAUCUUUCCCUCUUAUUUAAAAAUAUUCCUAUUCGAACAAAAAAAACAACAAACAAACGUACGCCAAAAUUGUCCAGAAUCACGAACACGAAAAGGCUCCUCCUCCUCCUCUCAAACACAGAUCGAUCAAAACGCGACGAGUCUCGGAAUCUACCAUGAACGGUACAAGACACUCAGAUCACAAUGGAUGGUGGUUAAGGCAGAGAGAGAGAAGAGAAACAAAAAACAAAUUAUUCAGAGAGAAAGCAAAAGAGAGGAUUAACGGCCGAUGCGGGGACCAUGGAUCACAAACACCAAAUUUCAUCUUGGCCGUUUAUAUAUUACUCGCAGCUUUAAAGUUAAAACUAAAUGAUGGCACGGUACGGUACGGUAAAGUCAUAACCGGCGCAAUCAGAACCAACUCGAAGUUAGUAUUAACCAAAAAUUAAACUCGGUUUAAUUACAGUACUCCUUAAUUUCAGUCACCAGAUUAGGUUUUACAUUGUUUAGUUAAAGAGGCGGCAAGAUAAAAACGUAUUGGCGCCAUAAACCAUUUUUUUUGUUUUUGGAUAUCUUGAUCGCUUCUCUAGUGAGUGUGUUCUUUCUCGCACAAGGACGUUGAGAAUGGAGAAUGAUGGUAGAUCCAGUGAGAACAAUCUAUACGAGGUAUCUCUCACUUCUCUAUAUCCUCUGCGAAUUGUCUCUUCGUUUCGUUUUUUUGUCUGCGAUUAGGCUUUAUUAGGGUUUUCAUGUCUGGAUUUGGGGGUUGUNNNNNNNNNNNNNNNNNNNNNNNNNNNNNNNNNNNNNNNNNNNNNNNNNNNCGUUAUAGCUCGCAUGUCUCAAUCCAUAGUUGUAUACUUUAGAUUGUUUUGUCAUUUUUUCCUGUGCUAAUCCCGUCUGAUGAAUGUUCCAGUGUGAUAGUCUCGUUUGAUUGUUAGGAUUGUAAUAACCAGAACUUUACUUGUUUAUGAUUUAUGGUUUUAAAUUUGUACCGUAGCUGUUGCAAUUUUUUUGUCUGAGAAUUGAGAAUCCCUUUGGUUUGCUGGUGAUCAAAAUUCUAUGAUUAGAAAUCAAUGAGACGAACUAAUAGUCCUUCUUCGUUGUAGGUUCUUGGUGUGGAAUCAACAGCAUCCCCACAGGAGAUAAGGAAGGCAUACCAUAAGCUAGCAUUGAGGCUUCAUCCUGAUAAAAACAAGGAUGAUGAGGUUAAUCUCUCACUCUUGAGUUUUUUUGUUUCUUUACUUUUCUUAGUUUCUAUGGGUCAUAUCCAGUUUUACAUGGAAACAUGAAUUCUUGUUUCUGAUUCAUAUAGGAUGCUAAAGAGAAAUUUCAGCAGCUGCAAAAGGUAAUAUCAAUCCUCGGUGAUGAAGAGAAAAGGGCAGUCUAUGAUCAAACUGGCUCGGUUGAUGAUGCUGUAAGUCUGGUUCUUGUUAUCUUCAUGAAUUAGUUUUAGUAUUUUUUAAGCAUGCUGGUAAUUUGUAAGAUUGUUUACACACUUAUACAGAGCACAUGUAUCAGUCUCUAGUACAACCGUUUCCAGCUUCUGUUCAGUGAAGUUGGUGAAAGAAGGCUAUUUAACUUUUAAGUGAGAAUACUGCUAGGUUUUCUUACGAACUGGUUUUUCCAUCUUAUUAGGAUCUAUCAGGAGACGUGGUUGACAACUUGAGAGACUUCUUCAAGGCUAUGUACAAGAAGGUGACGCAGACCACACACACUUGGUUCCUUUUUGGACUUUGAACUCAAGUGUUUUGUUCUGUUUCCUUCACAAACUAAUUCUUGUGGCAAUUAUGUUAAUAGGUAACUGAGGAAGAUAUUGAAGAGUUUGAGGCAAACUACAGGGGAUCUGAAUCCGAAAAGAAUGAUUUGAUUGAGCUCUAUAAGAAGUUCAAGGGUAAAAUGAGCAGGUAUUUACUAUCCCCUUGUUUUCAUUAUUGUUGAGUUUGUGAAUCGAAGUUUAUAUAAACAGUGUUGUUACUAUUGUAUAUAUUUUCCAGGCUUUUCUGCUCAAUGCUUUGCUCAAACCCCAAGCUUGAUUCACACCGUUUCAAGGACAUUAUUGAUGAGGCCAUUGCAGUGGGUAGGCUUCCCCUUUCCCUCUCUCUUUUGUAAUAAUUAUGUUUACAAAACACAUUCAAGUUCUGCUUUGUUUGCGUGUUAUGAAACCAUUGUUUCCUUUUAUGCAGGAGAAGUGAAAUCAACAAAAGCUUACAAGAAAUGGGCAAAGGAAAUUUCUGAAAUAGAACCUCCCACUAAUCCUCAGAAAAUGAGACGGAAGUAAGCUUCCCUAUGUCCACCUUCUUUUCCAAUAACUUCCCGGUGAAAUUAAACAUUGUUGUAACCUGUUUCAAAUUUACAUACUUUUAGAGUAGCAAAGGGUGCAGAUAAAGAUUUAUACGCAAUGAUAUCCCAGCGAAGAGAUGAGAGGAAAGAGAAGUUCGAUACAAUGUUCUCGUCACUUGUCUCUAGGUAUGGUAGCAGUGCCGACUCUGAGCCAAACGAAGAAGAGUUCGAAGCUGCACAGAGAAAAGUUGAAAGCAGGAGAUCAUCAAAAAAGAUCAAGGAAAAAGUAAGAGAAUGUAGUGGAUUGUGAUAAAGAGUGCUAAAGUCUAGCCUCUAGUUCCUUGUGUUUGCAAUGGAAACCAAUGUUAGCGGAAAAUGAAUCACAUGUUUGCUUCUUAAGGUUAAAAAAACUUGUAGGUGUUAACAGUGUUUCUGAAUCUGUAUCGUAAAUUCUACUCAAAACACAACGUUUGUGAAUCUGUAUCGUAAAUUCUACUCUCUCUCCUCUUUUGCAAAUAUAUAUGCAAGUUACAACUUGCAUCAUAGGCAGAGAUAUAAGUAUAUAUAUAUAUAUAUACUGUAUAUUCAUUUUCACCGAUUUUUAGAUUAAAAGCUUCUGUCUCGGAUACCUGAAUAAUUUACGCAACUAGCUAAGUAGUAAAAAAAAUUACCCAUCACGUAUUCAUUCUUUCAAACUAAAAAAAAUCAAAAUAUCUUUAGUUAAAAAGAUGAAUAGGCCAAACUUAAAACAAUAAGGAAAUAUUGGCAAAAAAGGAAAAAAAGAAUCUAAAAUUUUCCAUAUAGAGAAAACCAAAAGUCAUAACUGUAGUUAAAGUACACACCAAUUGAGAAGAAUGAGUUACAGAUUUUAGCUUAUUUUCUAAAUAAUAUAAGAAAAAGGUUAAGAAUGUUUACUAUUUAGGCAAAGGAGUCGCAGUCGCAUAAAGAUGUAUCCCUCCGAAUAAUAAUAAUUCGUAAGUUGGGUGUCUCGUCGAUUCUUCAAUGGCUUGGGAUUUGCUUUUGUGGAUUAUCUCCUUCUUCGUCAGCUUGGCUCUCGUCGCUUCUGUCUUCUAUCAGGUAUCUCUCUCUACCUAUCUACUUUGUUUGUCCCCUUUGCUUUCAAUUAAUUUCUUUAUAAUUCGAGAUCUGUCCUCAGCGUUUGUACUGUUCAAAUCCUUACUGUCGGAAUUCUAGUUCUGCAAGCAGCUUAGCUUUUUGUCGGACAUAGUUAAAACCCGAUGAUGCACAACUUUCUAAGGAAACAAACAAAUUUAGGAAUGGAACAAUUUUGAUUUUGUGCUAAAUCCUCCCGCAAUUCAUUGUUCAUUCUUUUCCUUCUAACUCAAAAGUUGUUCUUAGUUCUGGGUUUGGAUUGUCUGUAAGACUAGUGUAGUAUGUGAGAUGAUAAUUGAAACAGAUUUAGUGUAACGCUGUUGAUUUAUUGCGAGUUGUGAUUGCGGCGACAGCUGAGAAGAUGUGAUUGAAUGAGAGAUUAGAUACUUACUGCUACUACCAAAUAGUGUGCCUAUGAUAAUGAAGUAAGAGUUGAGAUCCCUUUUUAGGCUCAGUUUCCAUUUUUAUUAUUGAUAUUGUGUGUUUUUUUUUGUUUUGUUUUGUUCUGUGUGUGUAGGUUAUCUGUUUAACGGAUUUAGAAGCGGAUUACUUGAACCCUUUUGAAACAAGUACCCGUAUCAACCGAUUGGUAAUACCUGAGUUUAUCCUCCAAGGGUCACUCUGCCUUGUCUUCCUCUUCACUUGGCAUUGGGUCUUUUUUCUCGUCGCUCUCCCUGUAGCACUCUAUCACGCUAUGUUGUGAGUAUCUCUCUUUCCAUAUUGCUGUUGAUUCUUUCUUUGAUUUUACAUGCGUGGUAACUAAUCUAAACCGCCUCCCAUUCUUUCAGAUACAAAGAGCGACGUUAUCUCAUCGAUGUCACUGAAGUGUUCCGUGGUAUUAGCUUUGAAAAGAAGUUCAGGUUUACCAAGCUGGGGUUCUACAUCUUUCUAUUCAUCAUGGUUGUCUUUAGGUAAAAAUACUACAACUUUAGCUCUCCUAUUUAAAUCUUCCCUCGGGUUGGUUCUUCUACUGUGAAGUUACUAACUGAGUCCAUUAUUUGUUUCUUUGCAGGCUUACUCUCUCGGCAGUCUAUAGCUUCACGGAGGACGAUGAUCUACUUCAUUUGUUUUGAUUUAUACGCUCUGCGUUUACCACCCCCAUUUGUUUUCUGAGUGUGUUUAAGAAAAUUCUGAUCCGUGCUUAGGGUUAGCCAACUAGGGACUCAUGAUGUAGCUUUAUAUAAUGUACAAUUACCGAAAAUUCGUCACAAAUUCCUUUGACAUGGGGCUCGCCAGUUUUUUUGCACAAAAUAAAGUUCAGUCUCAUAAUUGAAUUCAUAAAUAUAAUGUAUCAAGAAUGAAGAUUGGAGAAAUGGUCGGGAAUAAGGCUAUUAGACCAUCUCCAAUGGUUAGAACCAUGGGAGGGUGCUUAUUCAUUUUUUUUGCAUUAAUUUUUUUAAAAUAAAUUUAUAAGUGGCCUUUAGCCUUUGCUUAAAGAGUUAAUUUAGACAACAAAGCUUAUGAAAAGUGCUUGAUUUACAUUUAAUAUAAUGCAAUAAAUAUAGACAAUGUUUUAAGCUUCCCAUUAAGCAAUGCCAAUGGAGUUGCUCUUAGCCUGCCUAUUACUACAUCGACCAGGAGACUACUAGAGAGUAGAGACUCUAAUCAACUAGAGACUACUAGGUACGUCAAGGUCAUCGAACCCAACAGAUGAUGUCAAGAUACAAGGGAGACUACCUUUCCCAUAUUUGUUCGUGGGGUGUAGGUGCAUCUUUCCUUAAAACUCACAACGAUUAGGCGAAUUAAUCCACUUGGACUUGAGAUUUUGUGAAUGCCUCAAUAGAAUUAGUAAACAUGAUUAAUGCAUUAACAAAAAGCUUCUAUAUUAUAUAUGGUAAUUAUUUAUUAUUCAGUCACUUAAUAGAUGGAAUUUUAGAAUUUAUCUUAGUGUAAUUUUUUGUAUGUUAUUAAUUUUACAAUAACUUUGACAUAUGUACAAUAAAGUUUUCUACUAUAGUCUAUAACAUUUAAAGGAAAUUAUUAAUAAUAUAACGCCCGGGUAAGUUGAGUUACAUUUACAUACCUACUAUAAAAAAAAAAGUUGAAUUAAUUCAACCUACUAUAAAAAAAAAAAAAGUUGAAUUAAUUCAAAGCCAGAAAAAUGGAUUACUGAUUAUGAAGUAAGUAAUUAAUGUUCGUAGAAAAAAAGAAGAAGAAGGUUUGGGCCUAUAAAUAGGGUUUCAAGGGGAGAGUGAUGCAUUCAUAAGUUUGUACCCUCACUCAUUGUUCAGUAUCUAUAAAGGAUCAAGCAGAGAGAGAGAGAGAGAGAGAGAGAGAGAGAGAGAGAGAGAGAGAGAGAGAGAGAGAGAGAGAGAGAGCUCGCACUCCCAAGUCCCAAGGUUUCUUUCUGCCUUUCUCUUCUCUAUGGCUAUCUUCUCUGUCGAUGAUCUAUGUUCGGUAUCGUGUCUUAAUGUGUUAUUCCAUUUUCUGGUCUAUUCUGUAUUCAAAUCAACCUCUUAUAUCGCGUUCUUAGAUAGCUUGCCACUUUUGCGUACGUUAGUGUGACCGAUUUGUCAUGUUGUCUCUUAGUUUUUUUGUUUUUUUUGUGGAGUUCCUUAUGUCUUAUUCUCUGUUUAUUACUUGAAGUGGAAAGCUUGGCGUUGAAGAAAGUGUGUGAAAAUGGAACAAAAUAAUAAGUUAAGAGUCGCCAAGUUGAAGAAAGAGCGUCUUCGUAAGUCAUUGGUGAAGGCCAAGUCUCAAGCCUCUGAUAUAUUGUCCUUCACGCUAUUAUGGAAAGAUCUUGAAUCUCAUUUUCAGUCAAUUGAAUCGGAUCUUGUGAAGAGGUCACAAGAGAUAGACUCAAAGGAGGAACAGCUGGAGAAGUGGUCACAUGUGUUAAAGUCAAAGGGAAAAAUUCUGGAGAAAAGGGCUCGAGAGAUGGAAUCAGCUGCUGAGUUCACAAGACAUGUUGAAGAAAAUCAGAAGAAACUGGACAAGCUAAAGAUAGAGAUCGAAUCUGAGGAAAAGAAACGUUUUCUGCUUCAGAAAUUGAACCGAGGUCGUAAGCUUGAACUAAAGUGGACAAGAGAGCAAGUAAAAGCGGUGCAGAAUCAUGAGAUGAACCGGGAGGUUGGACCUUUCAAAGAAAACAAGAGCUACAAGGAGAUGUCGGAGGAGCUACAGGUUCUACAGAAGAAGUACGAGGAGGUCUUGAAGAAAAGCAAGUUGGCUGAGAAGAAACUAAAAGAUUGUACCAGAGAUCUUGCACAGAGAGAAGGAGAGCUUCAGUGGGCGAAUAUGCAAUCGAAAAAGCGUUAUGUGGAACUGGAGUGGGCAAAAAGAAAGACUAAUUUGGAAAAGAGCAAACUGAAUGUGUGGCGCAGACGUAACAAGGAAGCAGAAAGGAAGCUGCAGCACUUGAACAGAGCACUAGAGGAGAAACAGAAAGAGGUUGAUUUGAUUGAGAAGAGACUCUGGUGAAUGCAGGAACGUGAAGGCAAGGAUAAACAGAGAUACCAGUGGAGAUGAAAGUAGCUUAAAGAGAGCAAAUAUGUAAUAGUAUGAGAAAACUAGCUCACAUUCAAAUAUUAAACUUAGUUCCGAGUAAAAUAUUACAUGGGACAACAUAUAAACUGGUUGUUCACAAACUAGAUUGAAAACUGAUGAAAAAAAAGGCUUUUAUACAUAUUUGACAAAUAACAAAAACGGAAUAUUUCUCAAACUCAAUCAGGUUGCUUCGUUGAGUUUGUCAGAAGACAAGAGUGUCUUUGCGAACCAUAUUGCAGUGUCCCUAGCCGAGACGCCAUCUUCCCCAAAUGGUGUAAGCAAACCAGCAAGUUCUUCAUAUUUCUCUUGCUUUACAAGCCCUGCACAUUUCUCCAAUAAACACUCUAAUGCAUCUGCCCUUUCUUUACUCUGAGGCGGACCCAACUUUGUGAGCUUACUUAGUACAGAUGACAUUUCACUCGCCGUUAGUUUCACCAUCUUUGCUUCAUUGCCCUCAAGUGAGUCAAGACUUCCAGACAAACAGUCUUUUGUUGCUGCAACUUCAGUAGAUGAAUGCCCAAUGCUAGAAAUGGACUCUGUUUGCUGUUUCUUUGGUUCAGGUACUGCCUCCUGUGUUUCAGCUUCUUUGAUGGCUCUUGGAGGGGAACAGAUUACUUCUGGUGCACUCACAACCCCAACAUCAACAUCACUUACCUGAGAGUCCUCAGAAAGCAUAUUUUCAGUUUCUUUUGGAAGAGCAAUUUCUUUGGUUUGCUUUUCUGUAGAGUAAAUUGCAAUCUCAGUAUCGACUAAUCCCUCAUCCGAUUUAUGGCUAAUAGACUCAGAAAUUUUCAAUGUGUCGCAGCUUGGAUCGAUUCUUUUUGUUUCAAGUUUAUCUUCUGCACCAUUUGUCGAUGAUGCUGGUUGCGAUGAGCUGCUAGAUCCAGUCUCUGCAUUCGUCCAGAACGGAUAUAGAUUUUCCAAACUGCGAGAUACCUCGCUCUUCUCUCUCGAAUCUCUUUCCUUCCCAAACUUUCCUGGCAAUGAAUUUCUUCUUGUUUUAUCCUUUGGGCUUACUGAGUUUAUCGGGAAAACAGGAAGAUAAAUAGGCGACAGGUUUUGGCACUGAAGAAGGUACGGUUGUAGACAUGGGUUCCUUAACAAUUCACAGGCCUGCAGGAUGAUUAUCAUAUAAUAUUAUCCAAGUGGUCAAUACUGCACACACUCAACAAUGAUAUAUGUGCGUAAACUUACUGUUGGCCGAAACUCUGGUUUCUUCCGAAGCAUAAGCUUAAUCAUUUGUUUCCUGUAAUAUGAAAUAGUUGUAACUCGUUUCAUGGUGUUUGCAUUGGAUUGAAGUGAACCAUGUUUCUUAGAAACUUACAAGGUAGAGGAGUAGACAAUCGGAAGAGGAGACAUAAGGGAUCUGUUUAUUUUGUUGAUAAGUGCAGCCAUAUCCUGUAUAUUUUUCUCACAAUUUAGUUUCAAAAAGUCAUGAAAACAUUGAGUCACAAAAAAAAUAAGAGAUAAGAAAGCUUAAGAUAGGCCCACCGGAGCUUUAAAAGCAGGCUGGUGUGCUGUAAUUUCAUACAUACAACAACCUAAACAAAGCAGCAUAAUGUGAGUUUUCCUUUUAAUGACUUAAAAGAAGUCUACAUAUUGGAACUUAACUUACCCAGCGACCAUAUGUCAGAUUUGUAUCCAUAGGGUUCAUCUUCUAAUACUUCAGGGCACAUGCUGUUAGAAAUACCCGAAACCUAUAAAAAUGUACUAUGGAUGAGAUAUUCUAAAAGAAGUAUAACUGAAGAUACUAAAUGUACAAAUGGGUGCAGAGAGAUACUAUAAAUUGAAAACAAAAAGGUGUAGAUAACACACCAUGGAAACUGGCUUUUCUGGAUUUAUAAGUUUCGCUAGACCAUAAUUACCUGUGCCAUGAGUAUAAAUUAAAGCUAACAAGAGCAUAAAAUGUCAAAUAUAUAGUUUUGAACGAAGAGUAAAUUCAGUCUUCUCAUUUAUUAUACCAAGCUGGACGUGAUUAUCUCUUGGAAGGAAGAUAUUUGCGCACUGCAACGAUAAUCGAUAAUUAAAGAGUCAUUCUUC